rnacentral:rRNA from 1 species
GGGGUACGGUGCGUAUCUUGAAUGUCAAAACGACUCUCGGCAACGGAUAUCUCGGCUCUCGCAUCGAUGAAGAACGUAGCGAAAUGCGAUACUUGGUGUGAAUUGCAGAAUCCCGUGAACCAUCGAGUCUUUGAACGCAAGUUGCGCCCGAAGCCUUCGGGCCGAGGGCACGCCUGCCU